ensembl:lncRNA
CCCAGCACAAUCCAAAUAUUUGGGUAGCGUGAUAUUCACUUGCAGGUGAAGAAGAUGAGCUUAGGUGUUUUUGUAUUUUUCAACUGCGUUCGUUUAUUUUGAAAUGAAUCCUGGCGACCGUGACGUCAUCUGACUGCGCGGUGUGACUGUCGCGAACUUGACGCAGCAACAUCAACUCCAAACGGCGUCAGUGACAGUUGGGCUUUUCGUUGCUCAGCCUCCAUCCAGCCGUCCGUGGAAAGGGGAUCUCUCUUUGAAUUGCCUUUCCCAAGGUUUCUUCCCAUCUUCCAUGGGGAGUUUUUUCUCGUCUUCAUAGAGAACUUGGGCUGGAUCAAGACCUCCUCAAAAAUCAAGCUUCAUUAUAAGAAAUAACACAUCAUUAUAGAUUAUUUCCAGAUUCCAUUUAGAGUUACAUCCUGGUUAAUAAGUUAUUUACACAAAACCAAGUUGAGCUGCACAUUUUAGACGACAUUUUACGUUUAUUAUAUAACGUAUUAAAGAGCUACUUUACACAUUGAGAUUAAUAAUUCAAAAUAUGACCAAAAAAUAAGUUCUCUUGUAUUAUUAGAUGCUUUUUUCGCCCCUAGUGGAAAUUCACAAGAUGUAAAAUAAAUAUAAAUUAAAACCAGCCUCGUCUUUACCAGGUGCAAAAUUAAAGUUAUUUACAUGUUAAUGCAUUAAAAAGUGUAAUCCUGUUAUAUAAAAUACACUUUUACAAGAUAGUUAAAUUAGAAAAUGCAUGAUUGCAAGAUUAAAAGCCCAAUGUACUGAUUUAGAUAAACCUUUUAAGUUGCAAACAUUUUUUAUGUUUAUAUUGUUUUGACAUAAUAAUGUUUCACUAACUUAAUAUUGUGAAUUAUUUAAAAUCUGAUUUUUUUGCUUUAGUCGAUUUAAAACAAUUCAAAUUGAACAGUGUAGCCAUCCCAUAAUAGACCACUUUAGAAGACAUUGAAAGUAUUUGAGUUUACAAGAAGUCUUAGAAUGUUGAAUAUAAUCACUUUUAUUGCACUUUGAGUUUGUAGAAAUCUGUGAAUGUAGUAGAAAGAUGAACAAUGCACAGAUAAAUACAAACAAAACAUCAACAUUUUUGUUUAAGUGAUUAAAUCUCCAAAAGAUCUUUUAAAUUCUCCCAAGUAAAAGCUUUUUACUUCUCCUCACCACCUGCACAGGACGCUGCUGCUCAUUCACUGGAGAUUUAGAAACAUUUACUUCAUGGGUGAUCUGAACUACUGGGAGCAGGCUUGAUUGAACAGUCUGACUGCUGCAGGAAGGAAGGACCUCCUUCAAACAUCGUGGGUGAAGCAGUCUGUCCCUGAAGGAGCUGCCGGUGAUGGUCCUGUUUCCUGCAGGGGGUGGGAGAUGUCCUCCAUGAUAGACAACAGCUUUGUCAUCAUCCUCCUGUCUACCACCAGCCCAGGACAGAGCUUGCUUUCUUAACCAGUUUCUUUAGUCUCUUCCUGUCUGCAGCCGUGAUGCUGCUGCUCCAGCAGACCAGUCCAUACAGGAUGGCUGAUACCACCACACAACCAUAAAAGGUCCUCAGAAUUGCUCCCUGCACCCCGAAGGACCUCAGUUUCCUGAGCAGUCAGAGUGUAAAGAAUUGAAGCUGUCAGAGGC